UACGUAGGGUGCGAGCGUUGUCCGGAAUUAUUGGGCGUAAAGAGCUCGUAGGCGGUCUGUCGCGUCGGUCGUGAAAACUUGGGGCUUAACCCUGAGCUUGCGGUCGAUACGGGCAUGACUGGAGUUCGGCAGGGGAGACUGGAAUUCCUGGUGUAGCGGUGAAAUGCGCAGAUAUCAGGAGGAACACCGGUGGCGAAGGCGGGUCUCUGGGCCGAUACUGGCGCUGAGGAGCGAAAGCAUGGGGAGCGAACAGG
rnacentral:rRNA from 1 species